rnacentral:rRNA from 1 species
UACGAAGGGAGCUAGCGUUGUUCGGAAUCACUGGGCGUAAAGCGCACGUAGGCGGAUGUGUCGGUCAGGGGUGAAAUCCCGGAGCUCAACUUCGGAACUGCCUUUGAUACAGCACAUCUGGAGUCCGGAAGAGGUGGGUGGAAUUCCUAGUGUAGAGGUGAAAUUCGUAGAUAUUAGGAAGAACACCGGUGGCGAAGGCGGCCCACUGGUCCGGUACUGACGCUGAGGUGCGAAAGCGUGGGGAGCGAACAGG